AGGAAACCAUUAAUCCUGUUUAAAGGGACAUCUUCUUGUAUCUAUGCUUGAAGCCAAUAUAGCGAUGAUUGCUACAAAAAGCGGCCAACAAGGGCAAUAUAUCACCAAAUGAACGAUCGUACCUUAUGGUUGAAAAUCCUACUGUGGCUACAUUUUAACUAUUACCUAAAAUUCACAAGCAGGCAUCUACACCUCCAGGCAUGAAGCAACUAAAUAUUUAAUUCGCCCAUAUUAGCGAUAGAAGAGGAGGACGGCUGCUUCAGUUAUUUCCUUGGAGCUACUCCAUCCAACAUGUGUUCCAUAACCGUCCCAGUCAAAGGAAG